AGUGAACGCUGGCGGUAGGCCUAACACAUGCCAGUCGAACGGCAGCACAGUAAGAGCUUGCUCUUACGGGUGGCGAGUGGCGGACGGGUGAGGAAUACAUCGGAAUCUACUUUUUCGUGGGGGAUAACGUAGGGAAACUUACGCUAAUACCUCAUACGACCUACGGGUGAAAGCAGGGGAUCUUCGGACCUUGCGCGAUUGAAUGAGCCGAUGUCGGAUUAGCUAGUUGGCGGGGUAAAGGCCCACCAAGGCGACGAUCCGUAGCUGGUCUGAGAGGAUGAUCAGCCACACUGGAACUGAGACACGGUCCAGACUCCUACGGGAGGCAGCAGUGGGGAAUAUUGGACAAUGGGCGCAAGCCUGAUCCAGCCAUGCCGCGUGGGUGAAGAAGGCCUUCGGGUUGUAAAGCCCUUUUGUUGGGAAAGAAAAGAAGCAGGUUAAUACCCCGAUGUUCUGACGGUACCCAAAGAAUAAGCACCGGCUAACUUCGUG
rnacentral:rRNA from 1 species